GUGGUUGUAGGAGUUCCUCUGCUGCAGGAAGGCGGCGGCCGCCGCCUGGUGCUGCUGCUGGAGCUGCGGGCUGACGGGCGACCUCCGGCUCUGCGGCUGCUGUGGCGCCGCGGGCGGCGGGGGCUGCUGCUGAGUCUUGCUUCCUGUGAGUCCAGUUGUCUGCCCUAUCACUCAAGAAGAUAGAAAGCCCUGGAAGGUGGCUGGGGAAGAAUAUGGAGACAGUGGCUGUGGAAAAAGCAAGAAGACUUUUUGACCAGCAGGACAUAUUUCCUUGUGGGAAUUAGGAACUUUGUUCUGAUGAGUGCACUGGGGCACAGGAGUGUUAAGCAGCUUGCCUAAAACCACGGAGCUAAUAGUAAACAGAAUCCCAGAGCUCCCGGUCUCAAUCCACUGUGCUAAAAUUGUGGUGAGUCUCAUGGCUUCGUCUCCACUAAACUGGAAAAGACUUCCAAGAAGUGGUGGGACUUUAGAAAAUCUUUGAAAGGUCAGUUGAGGAAGUCCUUUAAAGUGUCAGUGGGUCUGAUACAGUUUCCAGUUCUCCUCUCUAAUGGACCAGUGGGCCCCUUCAUCAAUACGGCAAUGGUUUGAACUGAAACAUUAGUUCUUCCUGGGUCUCAAGCCUGUGGGCCUCCAGACUGGAAGUACACCGUUGGCUCUCCUGGGUCUCCAGCUUGCCAAUUUACCCUGCGGAUCUUGGGAUUUGCCAGCUGCCAUAAUUUUGUAGGGAAAACCAGAAGCACAAGAGGGUUAGAGUCCCUGGAAGCAGCGCUCCCACCUCAACCAAUGGUGAAUAGGAGGUGAUAAAUAGCCCAGCGUCAUCACCCAAUGGCAGUACCACUUGGAAGCAAGCUCUGCAAUAUGUCCCAGAGUUCUCAGGUAGGACUGAGCCCCAAGAAUUACCCAGCAUGAUAACACAGCUGUUAUUACCUUCCUUCUUUGCCCAAUCUCACUUCCCCACUCCUCUACCAGUUGUCCUGGGAUUGUCUCCAAAUAGAGCUCUUGCAUGCUCAUCCUGGUCUCAGAGUCUGCUUCUAGGAGAAUCACAGCUAAAGUAGCGACUCUUCUUUCAGAGCAGGGCUGCAUUCAGCCAAAGUCUGACAUGUAGUUGGACUUGGUAAAUGUUGAACAAAUGAAUUAAUGAAUAAAUAAAUGAAUGGUGAGGUGUGAAUGACUGAUAGCACACUUCUACCGUAUGUUUUUUUUUUUUCUUAAACACAAAAUGCCUCUAAAUAAUCACAUUUUGGAGGAGAAAAUUAUAAUCUGGGAAAUAACUGACAGGUGAUUUGGCCUCUGGGAAAUGGGAGAUACCAAGCCUGGCCUGGGAGGAAAAGAAGAAGCUGUGUUAAUGGCCUCACCUUCUCCCUUUCCUACACUGGAUCAUCCUCCCCUAUUGUAUCUACAAUGACCCCAAUAACAGCCUGCCAUUCCUCUGUGGCAAUUUUGAUCAGAUUCAAAGAUUUCUUGGAGAAUGUAUUAUCAAGAUAAAGACUAAGGAGACCUGACAAAUUGUAUGUAGUUCUCACAAAAGUAGUGGCAUCUAUUUAUUCAUUUCUUCAAUUCAUUUUUGUAAAUGCAUUCAUUCAAUAAUUUACUUAUUCAUUAAUUUUUUCAUUCAUUAAUUGAUUAAUUCCCUCCCUCCUUCACUGACUCAAAAACUUUUGUUCAGAAGAACAGGUAAUUAAGCACAUGGUCCCUAGAGACCGAAUUCUUUGGUUGGCAUCCUGGCUGUAUGAUCUUGGGCGAAGUACUUAACCUAUCUGUGCUUCCAUCUCUUCAUGUGUACAAUGGGUAUAAAUGGUAUCUUUUCUUGAGCAGAUUACGUGAAUAGUGCCUAGAACAGUGACUGCAUACAACCAGAGGCAUAGCAGUAGUCACCUAUCCUGCUUCUUGAACCAUCAGUCUGUGCUGGGUAUUGUUCACGCCUCAUACACUUUAUGUUUCACUUUCAUUUUCGUAUUUCUAGUUUUCCUCUCCAUAACAGAAAAAUUGCAUCAGCCUGAGGGAACUUAGUUUCCCCACUUCCUGAUCAGUCCUGAAAUUUUAACCUCACACAUCUCUAUCCUGACUGCUCCUAGUGGGCAAGCGUGUCCACUUCACCUUUCCAACUCUGCUUGCCCAGAGCCUUCAACUGCACUUUAGCUGUCUCAAGUCUCCCUGCCCUCUUUCGGUUUCCAACAGUUCCUGCUUCACUUCUGCUCCUCCCACAAAGCUCAACCCUUUCUGCUGGGUGUGAGGAGAUUAACCAAGAAAAACAGAUGACGCAAACAGCUUCCAAGGAGGAGUUCAUCUUGGGGGCUCUACUGUUUAGAUGGUACUUUUGCCCUCUUCUUCGCUUACAACAACCCUAACUUGGCUUCCACUCUGACACCUAAUUAGGUUAGUAGCUAUCCUUGUCCUUUUUUCCCUCUGGAUUGAAAAUAGCCAAGGGUCAGGGUCAGGUUGGGGGGAAGAAAGGUCAGCUCCCUGCAGCUCUGGAUUGGUCAAGAAGAGAUGGGACCCUGGCUUAGUGGAAAUGGAAAACAGAAUGUGUGCAGAAGGGUGUUGUCCACCUUAGCAGAAACCACAUCCUUAGAGUUCACAUUUACAGUUGAUAUUGUUAACCCUUUACAGUCCGAUCAGUAGGUUGAAAGAGCCCCCAAAUACAAAUUAACAUCACUACGGUUCAUAGAAAGUAUAGGAUGAUCUAUGGGCAUGAGGUUAUGAGGGCAUUGAUAGCCUAACUUUAUUGAGAAGCAUUAGAGGGUGGUCCUUAAUAGCAUAGAUUCUGUUGCCAAAAUACCUAUGGAGAAUCUCUACUCUGUUUUGUACUGGUAGACUGAAGUUGGGCAAGUUAAUGUAGACUUACAUAUGUAAGGAUUUAGAUAUAUAAAUUGAAGAUGACAAUAAAGUACAUGUGCCCUAGGGUUGAUAGGAUGAUCAAAUGGAUCCACCCAUGUAUGGCACUAAUGUGGUAUGAAUGCCUCAUAGCUAUUAAGCACUUACUGUGCGCCAGGCACAGUUCUAAGAACUCUCUGCUCAUAGGACUGGGCGUGAACUAGGGCUGGAUUCAGUUUGGCAGAGUGGAACAGUAUAAACCUAAAAUAACAGCAGUUUAGAAAAGGUAGAAGUUUAUUUCUCUCUUAUAUAAAAGAAGUCCAGAGGUAGAAAGCCGAGUGCUGGUGUGGCUAUUCUCUGGUCAUCUGGGAUCUUAGACUCCUUCUAGAUCAAGUACUUCAUCAUUCAAGCAUUAGUUUUUAUCCUCCAGGUCACCUCUUGUUCUAUGGAGCUCUAAAUAUUGUGUCCUUAUCCCAGGAAGCAGGAAGAUGAUAAGGUAUUAGGGGAAAAAGGAUGUAACUUCUAGGUAAGUGAGCUCCCCUUAAGGAGUUUUCUCAGAGGUCCCACAUACAACUUGAACUUACAUCUUGUUGAAGAGGACUUAGUCAUCUUGUCCUGCCUAGCUGCCAGGAAGGCUGGGAAAUGUAACCAUUCAUCUGGGUGUAUCACCACCUUGAAUAACCAGGGGGUCUGCUACUAAGGCAAAAGGGGACAGAUGAUAUUGGGUAGCCAUCAAAUAUUUUCUCUUUAGCUCCCCAACAUCCCAACCUACAUUUUUCCAUAUGUAGAAUGUAACACCUCUCCAAGAGAGAAGACUCCAAUAUCUCAUCCAGGUAGCGUAUUUUGUUGAAAUCUAGGAUCUCAGAAGAUGUGUAGUUCUCUCCACCAGAUCCGAUUAUGUCUCCUUGAACUCCAUUGACCUAUAAACUAAAAUAACGUAUCUGCUUCUCACUUCCCACACACCCAACAAUCGGUGGUGAAGCAGAAACAGUAUACCUGCAGAAUGAACCCCCAUUCUGUAAAGGGGAGGAUGGGACAACCACAGCAGCCACCAGUUCAUGGACAACGACAACUCCCAUGGGGCAGGCCCUUGUUUAAAAACUUAGAAGCUUUUGUUCUAUAUGCUUCUGGAAAGUUUCAUGAACAAGUAACCACUGCCAAAAAUCUUAUCCAGCUAGAGGUUGUAAACCUGAAGGCUCUUGGAUUUUACUUACAGAUCUCUGUGUUCAGUCCAUUCUUCUCUCCCAACUUGAUAGCCAUCAGAAACAAUAGGCUUUGGUCAGGAAGCAAUUCACUAAUUCCCAUUUUACCAACACACCUAUUUAAUGCCAAAAUUUCAGCUGUUGCAGCUGCUAAUAAUGAAUUCUGGUUAGCUAAUAAUCUUUAAGGUUUUCAACUAUCUAGAUGACAGUCUGUAGGCAAAGCAAAACUGUACUUCCUAUGAUUUCUUCUUGUAAAUUGAUAGGUGUUUGACUUUAUUUCUUGUGGAACUUUGCUAAAAGUGUCAGAUGAUGUUGUCACAAACCAACUGUGGUAGGCAGCCUCUAAGAUGGUCCCCAAUGAUCCCCACAUCCUGGUAUUUACUUAUAUAAUCUACUUAUCUUGAGUGUGGGCUGGAUUUAGUGACUCACUACUUAUUAAAAGAAUGUAGCAGAGGUGAUGGAUGCCACUUGUGAGAUUAGGAUUUGGGUGCUUUCUCUCUCUCUCACUCUAUCACUUGCUCUCUCUAAGGGUAACCAGCUGCCAUGUUCUGAGCUACCCUCUCGAGAGGCUCCCAUGGCAAGAAAUUAAGGGAGGACUUUGAUCAAUAUCCACAGGAACUGAGACGUUUAGUCCGAUAGGCUCUGUAGAACUGAAUCCUGCUUAUAGCUAUGUCAGUGAGCUUGUAAGUGGAUCUCAGUCGAGCCUUAGAUGAAACUGAAGCCCUCGGUGGUACCUUGAUUGCAACCCUAAAAGGAAUCUUGCUCAAGAGAGACUCAGCUUAUCCACACUGGGAAAGACAGAAGAAAGCGUACAGAGAAACAAAUAACCAAGAGAAAAAAGUUGGAUCUUCAACCAGUGGGCAAGAGAAUUCCAGGAAGAGACAUCAUAUUGUGCAAAGGUAUGAAGUUGUGGAGAGCAUGGCACAAUCUGAGACCAAGAGUCCACUGGUGAUGUGACAGCAUAGAUCACAGGGUAGGGAAAAGGGUGAGGCUGCAGGGACGAGCUGUGGACAAAGAGCUGAGGGCUGUCCUGCUAGUCAGGAUUCUUUUCCAUCACAGAAACCUAGCCAGAGAAUUGAAAUGGGAUGGGCUUGUGGGCACAGAAUGGGUAUGGGCAGAAAAGGACUUGGCCCCAGAGAAAUGGACCCAAGAUCAAAGACAUCUUAUUGCAAAGAUGAAAUGUCCCCAUGUGGUGAGAAAUACGUCAUUGAUAAUCUAGGAUUAUUUCUUUCCAACCUAAUGACUUGAAAUAAAAGGAACUCUUCUGUUAGAAAACAAUAAAUCCCAGGGAACACUGACUGGCUUUGAUUGCGUCGUGUGAUCUUCCUGCAUCAGCCAUCAUUGUGACUAGGGGAUGGGGAAAUCUGAUGGACUUGACUUGGAUUACUUACCCAUAUGUAUCUAUGGUGGGGUCAGUGUCUAUUUACAGAAGGAGGAGGUGAAAUGAUCCUGGCCACACUGAAACCAAGUAAUAGUCCCAGAGCCUUGACUGCUAUGCUAGGGAGUUUGGGUUUCAUCUGAGGGUGGCAGAAAUCAAUUUUAGGUUUUAAGAACAGAGAUGAAAUAGUCAGACGUAUGUUUGGAAAGAGCAGCCCAGGCUCAGCGGGGAGAGAUGGUUGAGUAGAUGGAGGCUGGAAGACCCAUUGCGAUGCUAAUGGCAUAAUCCAAGUAAGGCUUUAGAACGGGGCUGUGCACAUGUUGCUGGGAGUGUGUGAGGAUUUAAGAGAGAACAGAGGACACUGAUGUUUCCUAUCAGGUUCCAAGUGGGGAAAGAUAAGAACACACUAGCUGCUGUGUGAAUCAUUGACAAGGUGAAUUGUUGAAAAGGUCUUUUAAGAGGUCAUUCAGGUUCAACAAUUGGCCAGUAUCCUAGACUUAUUUAUGAUUUUACUGAAGCUAAAUUGGGGCAAGGUGCAGAAAACUUGCUUUUCUGAUUGGGAUGAUAAUAUUUCAGUUUAACAGAUAUGCAACACCCACUAUGUGCCACACCCAAAGCUUUUUGUAUUUUUCAAGAUGGGUAAAACAAGUCUCUGCCAGAACAAAGUAGCUUAAUAAUCCCAAGUUUGUAAAGAACACAUUGUAUGUCUACCCAUUAUCUCCUUCAAUCUUUACCAUAGGCCUAUGGAGAAGCACAGAAGACAUCCUGACCUCCAUUACACACUUUCUAUGAGAAGUGAACUGACUUUCUCAGUCCCUUUGGGAGAAUCUUCUUCAGUCCUGCCCACUCUGGUCUCCUGAAACCCACACAUCUUGGCUUUUUUCUAUGCCAUGAGAACUAGGGGAUUCCCUUAGGCAGCUGUGGGCUGGUAAAUGUUGAGCAGCAGAUGCUCUGAGCAGUGUUUGCUGAUUGUCGUGGUGUGAAUAAUCCCACCAUGGCAAUUUAGUGUGACAUCACUGAACAUAGAAUUGGAAAGAGUUGUGCACGAUGAGUUCUCUUGAAUCUGAAGUUUCAGUGGUCUCAACAGCCAAUCCAAACUGGACCCUGGAGGGCAGAGUGGAAAGCGAUCCUCUUGGAGUUUGGUCUAUGUGAUCUGUUAUGGGUUGAAUUGUGUCCCCCACAAAAAUAUAUGGAAAUCCUAAUCACCAAGUCAUCAGAAUGUUACCUUAUUUGGAAAAAGGGUCAUCGUAGAUGUAGUUAGUUAAGAUGAGGUCAUACUGGAGUAGGGUGGGCCUCUAAUCCAGUAUGACUGGUGUCCUUGAAAGAAGACAACCAUGUGAAGAUACUGAGACACAGAGAGAAGGUUAUGUGAAGAUGGAAGCAGAGGGUGGAGUGAUGCAUUUACAGGCUGAGGAACUCCUGAGGCUGCUGGAAGCUGGAAGAAAUAAGGAUGGAUUAUCCCCUAGGGGUUUCAGGGGGAGUAAGGCUCUACUAAUACCUUGAGUUUAGAUUCUAGCCUCCAGAUCUGUGAGACAACACGUUUCUGUUGUUUUAACUCACCCACUUUGUGGCACUAAUAGUCCCUGUCUUUUCUCCUACCCUGCACCAUCUGGUUUGAAAUACUGCUGCCUUGGGCAAAAUCCCACUGUGUUUGUGUUUUAUGGUUCCAGUGUUCUUUCAUUCCAGUCCUUCUCCAUCUGGAUCAUAUUACAGGAAUCUAGUGAAAUGAGCUAAAAUAUGGGAGAGUCCAUUGCCUUAAAGAGAUAAGAAAGUCAUCUUAUCAGCUAUAAUUAGUUGAAUACAUACUAGGUCUCAGAUGCUAUACUAGGUGUUUGUCAUGUGUUGCCACAUUUAAUUUAAUCUUAACGAUAAGCCUAUGAUUAGGCAUAAUUAUCCUUAUUCUACAAAUGGGGAGACAGAAGCUCAGUGAUAUUAGGUAACUUGCCUAAGGUCACAGAGCUAGUUAAGGAUUGCAGGGUUGUCAACUCAGGUGUGGUAGACUCAGAUUCUGCACAACAUCUUAGCACUCCACCCUGUGGCCAAUUUGUGGGAGCCUCAAUGGGCUACCACUGCACAAACACCUCAGCAAUUGCCCCAUCUGGACCCAGAGAUAAGGUAGGAUCUGAGGACAGAGGAAGAAGAUAGAGGAUGGUUAGAGAAAUCAGGUCAAUUGAAUGAGUAACCCUGAAUCCCUUUGGUAAGCUUAUCUACAUCUAGUGGUUGCCAUUUGCACGUGGCAAUAAUAAUGAUAUGCCCUCAGUGAUAGUGUAUUAACCUUAAUUCCCUAUAUGUGUACAACACUGAACCUCUGUGAUGGGUUUUUCCUUGAAUGGCUCUCAUCACUUCUCAGGCUGUGGAGCCAGAGACAGCUGGGUUCGCAUUAACCAGUGGUCACAUCUUGAGCAAGUUGCUUUAUCAUUCGUGAGUAAUGAUUCACUUCCCUCACUUGGAACCUUGUAAGGGUGUUGGAAGGACUAAAUGAGGUAAUGUGGAGUGGGUCCAGUAUAGAGCAGAUAUUAGUGGAGCAAGUUUAUUCUUCCUGUUUGUGUGAGAAAGGAGUUUUCCCCAGUACUUCUGGCCUCUGGAGCAGUGUGUAGGUCCGUGCCCAGGAUCCAAACCGGCAAACCCUGGGCCACAGAAGUGGAGAGCACAAACUCAACCACCAUGCCACUGGGCCAACGCCUGCUUACCACCUUUAUAUCCCUCUUAUAGGUUGAAUUUUGUUCUCCAAAAGAUAUGUUGAAUUCCUAACCCCUGAUACUUAUGAAUGAUACCUUAUUUGGAAAUAAAGUCUUUGCAGAUGUAAUCAAGUUAAAAUAAGGUUAUUAGGAUGGGCCCUUAAUCUAACAUGACUGGUGUUCUUAUAAGAAAAGAGAAACACCAUGUGAAGACAGAAGCACACAGGAGAGAAUGUCUUGUGACCAAGGAGACAGAAAUGCUGCAGCUACAAGCCAAGGAAUGCCUGGAACUGUUGAAAAAUAAGGAGGUGGCUUUCUAUUAUCAUCUCUCUAUUCUGAGGUGAAUGAGAGACCUGGGGCCAAGAAAAAGGAAGAGCUAGGGCAGGGGAGGGAACCCAUGUAUAUUGAGCACCUACUAUGUGUGUAUCCCCCGCUGAGUGCAUUGCAGAUGUCUCAUUUCAUCCUCACACCCCAUAAGGUGAGUGCUUUGUUCUCAUUUUCCAGAUGAGGAAACUUUAGUCAAAAAUAUUGGAUACCCAGCUCAAGGUCCCACAACGAACAAGGGACUGAGAAAAUUCCAAAGAGAGGUGCUGUCUACUGCUUCUCUGAACGGUAUUGAAAUGCUUCAUCCGGAUCAGGCGCACAGGCCCUGUGCGCAGCUACUGCUUCUUCCCAGCAGGACUGCCUGUCUCUGGGGAGCUCUCAGACUUCUGAAAUGUGUUCUGGGUGUCCUGUGUAAAUGGUGUGAGCUGGAAAGCUGUUACUUAAACUUGGGAGGCUUAGCUGAAGCAGAGGACGAAUGAAUCAGGGGUGAUAUGCUUUGGGGGCAUUUCAGCAUGCUUUGUUUUUCAAUUCUGGUGACUAUUUUUCUAGGACCACAAUGACCUGCUCUUACCUGACAAGCCAACUAUAUUUCCUUUCUCUCCUGGGAUGUGGUUAUCAGAAAGAUAGAUCAGAGUCAAUAGAUAGAUUUAGUCCAGCUUUGAGGAUUUUGCUCAUCAAGUAUCAUGCAUAGAGGUGAUGUGACAAUUAGGGCACAUGGAUGAGAGCUCUCUUUUUCAAAGGAAGUCGCUGCCUUUCUGGCACUGGUACAAGCAUACCUUUAUGCUUCUCUCUGCCAGGAUGGCCAGUUCUUGCAGUUAAAAAUUCCAAACACAAAGGUCUCUUAAUCCAAUGGUAAAAAGAAAAAAAAAAUCACAAACUAUGCAGAAUUUGCUGGAUUUGAGGAGGAUAAAAGGAGAUCUCCAUUGGAUGUAUAGUAUGUUUGACAGUUGGAUUGAAAUUUGAAGAUAUGAUGAAAGUACAGAAUAAGAAUAAAAAAAUAAUUAGAAGCUCCACAGAAAGCAAAAUAGUCUAUAAGAAUGUAAUGAUCCUCCCCAAACAAAUUAAUCUGGUAAAAAUCUGUAGAUUUCAAGACAUGAAUUUCACACAAUAGAUAGAAAAUAGGCAAAAUGGAAAAGAAAUUAUCACACAUAUAACCUGUGCAAAUAGAUUAGAAUGCAGACACACGCACACACACCUCUCUUCACAUCUGAUACACUCAUACAAAUGAAAGGACUCGUAAACACUGCUCUGUGCCUUCCAUUUUUUAAGCUUACUAUAUAUUGUGGAAUUUUCAUGUUGCUAUAUAUACCAUUCCUUUUGUAUCAUUUUGGAUAUUCUUUUUAAUGGUUUCAAUGUAUCUCAUUAUAUAAAUGUACUACAAUUUAUAUCCAUGAUCACUAUUAAUGAACAUGUAGAUUGUUUCCAGUUUAGAGCAUUUAAUUUUUUUAAUUUCUUUUCCAAGCAAUACUGCAAUGAAUGUUGUUGGCCAUCCAUUGUUAACUGCAUGUGUGGGUGUGGCUGCAGAAAAAAAUUAUUUGCAGUGGAAUUUCUGAAUUAAAGGGUCUUUUAAAAGGUAUUGACCUUUUGCCAAAUUGACCUUCAAAGUUAUGCCAAUUUAUACUCCCAUUACCACUGUGUGAAUAUCUGUUUCCUCAAAAUCUUGCCCAAACCAUGUUUUGUAAUCUCUUUAAUUGUCACCAAUCAGUUAGGUAAAAAUAAAACAAUACCUUGCCGUUUUAGUUUGCAUUGAUUAAAUCAUCGAGUAAGGUUAGGCUUCUAUUCGUAUCAUUCUAAGCAAUUCGUAUUUACUUUUCUGAACCAAGCACAUAAUAUGUGCACAAUAAAUAUUUGUUGAACAACUAAAUAUACUGUCUGUGCAGUUGUUCCUUUUAUUAUUAGUGUGAAUGGAUUCUUCAUAGAGUAAAAAAAUAAUACCCUUUAAUACAGUUACUGCAAGUAUUUAUUUCCCCAUUUGCUAUUUGUCUUUUAAUUUUGUUUAUGGAUUUUUUAGGGGGAGGCAUUUAGAAAUUUGGUUUUUACUUUUUAAUGUAGUCACAUUUAUUAUUAUUUUAAAAAUGUAGUUUUUAAAUCUUGCUAAAAGUUUUCUCUUAUUCCUCUGAAUAUACACCAUGCCCUUAAUAGGCCUCCUUUCUGCAGCUGAAUAUAUUUUGUGUAAUCCUCAAAUUACACUGUGGUCCCCAAAUUGUGCUGUGGUCCUCUUGCCUAUCAGACUCUCUUCUCAUCCUCUGCCCAUAUAAGGGCCAGCACUUGGAGUUGGAGAGGAAUUUCUUCUUGCUCAAGGAAGCCUUGCCUUUGCUGAGUACUCCUAGGUAUGAGCACCUUGCACUGUAAUGAAUUGAGGGCAGAUCUGGUUCCACGUAAUAUGUAUUAUGGAAGUCCACAGUACAAGCAGAAGAACAUUUGGAAAGUAUCCUGGGAGUAAAAAGUUAUUGCUACAAAGGGUCUUAGAUGCCAAAGUAAGAAAACUGAUCUCUCUCCUGUAGGAGUUAGAACAGGGCUCCUGGUCUUAGUGCUGACAGGGACUAGAUUUAGAUGUAAUAAGAGGGGUAUUAAAGGUUCUUGCUCUUGCUCAAUAGGCUUUCUUUUAGGAAUUCCUAUUUAGAUAUCUUUCUUUUUGGGUUGCUUCUCCAUCUGGUACCCGCUGUCCAUGGUUUAGGUGCAUAAGACAGACCUAGGGCCUGCUGACCUUACAGGGAAACCAGAGUGUGACCCUGAGAAAGCAGGCUGCAGUAGACUGGCCUUUGGACCAGAUUCAGUGAGUCAUCUGCACACAUACAUUUACUUCAGUCUACCCAUUGGAGCUACUGCUGCUGUCUGCUCAGCACACUUCUUCUCCCUUCUUCUGAUAACAUUACUCCUUCAUUUGAAGAGUGCUUCCCUGCUGCACUCCACCCUCAUAUUAUUCUUUACUCAAGAAGGCAGAUGACUCUAUCUAGGUAAGGAAUCAGAAUCUUGGCUGGAGACCCACAAGCACCCAGGGCUCUUGGAUCCAUCCAUUAUGAAAUUGCUGUAAUGAGAACUCACCCAUUGCUCAUGUUCCUAAUAUGUUCCCUGUUCCUGCCCUUCUGGGACCUGCGAUUCUUCAGGAUUCCCAUGGUCCCAGAGACUACCCCAGUAUUCAUCCAAUAAGCCCUUUUCUCCCUUUGUUUAAAUUAGUCAGAGCCUGUUGCUUGCACUCCAGGAACCCUAGCAGAAAGAAGAGCUCACCAGUGUCAAUGGAUUACAUAGAGUUGUGGGGCCAAAGCUCUGGCUUUGCUCAGUGCACAGUCCCCUGGGGAUCUCUUUAUUGGCAAGCUGAGGCUAUGGAAGGCCUUUGAUGGAUUCUCAAUCAUAAGGCUAGGAAGACUUGGUCCCCUUAUCAUACCAGAAAAUUGAGUCCCCGGGAGGGUCUGGGACUUGAUAGAACAGAGGAGUCCAUGACAAUUUUUGACAAUUUUCAUAAGAUGUAAACCAUGGUGAUUUUACCCAGGCUGAUUGUGAGCUGGUGUUCAGGACCUUCCCUAGUUUUUGGAGUCAGAGCCAGGAAGCUCUGUCAUCUGUUUGUGAUUACAGGGCCCAGAAUGCCCCACCAAAGGCCCUCUGGCGCCUUUUCUCUUUGGAAACACAUUCAGCACAUUUUUAGAAACCGCACUAAGAAGCCCUCCCUGAGAAAGUGACUAAACACUGCUUAAUAUUCUGAAAAUAUAAACAGCUGCUGAGAAGCCACUCAUAAGCUGUUUAGGGAAAGCUGACUUGGCACUGGGGAGAAGCCAGCUGUUGCUGGCUUAUGAUUGGUGGAGGUUGUAAAAUUCCUUGCAAUGUCAGUGUUGUCAAUGAAUAUAUAUUAAGCUCGUUCUCCAUCUUACACGCUAGAGCAUUCUGGUUGGACUUGCGUACUUCUGAACAUUUUGGAGGGAUGAAGCAUGCUACGAUCCGUGCUCCUUUUCCAUACUUCUCUCCCAUUACCUAUGUUAUGGGUUAAACUGUGCCUCCUCAGAAAACAUGUUUAAGUCCUAACCCCCAGUACCUCUGAAUGUGACCUUAUUUAGUAAUAGGGUCGUUGCAGAUAUAAUUACUUAAGAUAGGGUCAUACUGGAGUAAGAUGGGCCCUUAAUUCAGUAUGACUGGUGUGCAUAUAAGAAGAGGAGAGGAAGACACACAGGGAGAAUGCCAUACCAUGUGGUGACAAAAGCAGAGAUUGGAGUGAUCCAGCUGCAAGCCAUGGGAUCCCAAGGAUUAACAGCCAACACGAGAAGCUAGGAAGAGGCAAAGAAGCAUUCUCCCCUCUCCAGCUUUCAAAGAAAGCAUGGUCCUGCUUCUAGGUUCCAGACCUGUGAGACAAUCAAUUUCUGCUCUUUUAAGUCACCCAGUUUGUGGUGCUUUGUUAUAGUAGCCAUGGGAAACUGUAUACUAUAGUUUAACCAUCUCCCUAUCCUAUAUGGGACUGUCCCUCCUAUUCCCAUUCUUUCAUUCAUUUGCUCAUCAAGCAUUCAUUAAACACCAACUGUAUUCUAGAUCCAGUGUUAGGUGCUGGGAAUACAGUGGUCACAGGGCACAGUUCCAACCCUCAAGGGGCUCAGAAACUAGGAGUAGGGUAGAAACAGAUCUGCCUGCAGAGAAAUCCUCCUCUGCCUUAGGUGCUUAGCAUUUACUCUCCUUCACUGAACUGCAAGUUUGCGUGUGUUGAGUCUUUAAUCAUAUUGUUGUAAACUCCUCAAAAACUAUUUUUCUCAACUGUUUUAUCAGGAAAAUUUUUGAAUAUGCGUAACUGUUGAAAAAACGGUACAUUGAUUACCCAUAAACCCACUGCCUAGAUUCAAUGAUUGUUAAUGUUUUGCUAUAUUUGGUUUUAAAGACUAUAUUUUUAUUUCUUCAGAUCUAGAGCGUGAAUAUUGUGUCCUAUAAGAGUAAGAGUUCCGGAACUAACCUCCCUGAAUUCAGAUCCUGGCUUUACCAUCUAGUUUUGUGUCCUUAGGCAAAUUACUACCCAUCUCUGCAUCUCAGUUCCCUCAUCCAUAAAAUGGGCAUAAUAACAGUGUCCAGCUCAUGGGGAUGUUGUGAGUAAUAAAUGCAUUUAUAUGUAAAAAGUACUUAAAACAGUGCCUUUCAAGAUGUAAACAUUCAGUAAGGAUUAGCUCUUUUAAUAAUUAUUUCCUACAGUUCUUGGAAAAUAGUGGGUAUCUUAUGAGUGAGUCUGGGGUGUUUUUAUGCAUGUGAAUCAUGGGGAAUCUUGCCCUGCUUUGAUCCAUUCCCCAGAUUAUUAUUCUUUUAGGGCAUGUGCAUUUGCCUCUAUUGGGAAUGUGUCUCUCUUCCCCACAAAUUUAGGCAAACUUGUUGAGGGAUCUUUGCUCUGUUUCCACUGUAACUGUCAGAGCUGUAAGUAGUACUUGACACAUAACUUGAUGCAUAGUAAGCAUUCAGUAAAUAGCUUGCUGAAUGAGUAGUGUCUAACAUGUCGGUAUUUGUUCAUGCAUUCAUUCACUUACUCAUUUGGCAAGUAAGGGUUGAGCAUGCUCUUGGUGCUAGACACAUUACUGUAUGCUAAGGCCUCACUGGUGACUGAGACAAAGUCCCUUUCAAGAAACUUUAAACUUAGUCUUGUUCAUAUUUGAUUUUGAAUUCAUCUUUGCUUUUUUAUAUACCUCGUCUUACCACCUAGACUGUAAAAACUUUGAGACUAGAGACUAUGGUUUCUACUUUUCUGUUAUUGAACAUGGAAGUCAUGAUAAGGUUACAUACAUUAAACAGACUUUAGAAUCAGGCAAAAAUGGAAAGAAAUUAAAAUUCUUCCAUUAGAUUGACAGUGAAUAUUUUACAUUACCUAUCUUUAUCUCAAUACCCUUGUUUGUUAAGUAGGAAUACUAUUUAGCUGGCUGUUGUAAGAAUUGAAUGAAAUAAUUCACAGCACAUAGUAUGUGCUCAAUGAAUUUGUUAUCUGUUUUCUGCUCCUCCUUUGUUUCCAGGGAUGUGAUGAGUUUGAGGAUAGAUGUGCAAGAGACAGAGUUGUUCCUUUUAUAAUUUUCUGGCACCCAGUGUCUGAUCCACCAGAGCACUUGUAUAAGUUAUGCUGCCAUAAGCCAAGGAAUGCCAAAGAUUGCCAUCAAGCCACCAGAAGCUAGGGGAAAGACAUGGAAUAAAUUCUUCCUCACAGUCUUCGGAAUAAACUGACCCUGCUAGAGCAUUGAUCUUGGACUUCUAGCCUCCAGA